UUCGCAGCCAGGGGUGCUGUAUUGUCUCCCGUACCCGGGCGUAUGCAGAGCUGUGCUGCAGACACUAGAGGCCAUCGCUGAGUACGGCGUGCCCUGCCAAAUGACAGAUCGUGGUAACCAUGCAGCAGCAGGCCCAGAGAACAAAGAAAAGGAUUUGACUUGGCCGUGGCACCGGGCUCCGCACACCCGUGCCAGAAGUUGCGCCACUCAAACUCUGCUGGAGGGAAAGGAAAAUGAAAAAUCCCCGAUUUCACCUCAAUUUCGGAUGAUGCAAUCGUGAAACUGAAAUUAAUUGUGGGGGUAUUAUUAUCUCGCAGGGUAAUGGACCUUAGGCUUUUUGACCUAUCGCUCCGUAUGUUAAUCUCGAGGAGAAGCCCUGGGUCUUAGAUGACUAUUAGUCAAUUAACCCGAAAUACAUCUGCCAUCUGCAUGUCUGAACAUCCUGUACGUCUCAGAUUUAAAA